CCGAAAGGAUUGGCCACCUGUAACCAAUCAGGAACCAGUUGCAGGUGCUGCAUGGCUGUCGUCAGCUCGUGCCGUGAGGUGUUCCCUUAAGUGGGAAAACGAGCGCAACCCCUCGUCCCUUAGUUGCCACCUUCGAGUAAUCGGAGCGCACUCUAAGGAGACUACCCGCUUAAGUGGGAGGAAGGUGAGGAUGACGUCAAGUCCGCAUGGCCCUUAUCCCCUGGGCUACACACGUGUUACAAUGGCGCAUACAAUGGGGGGCUAAGCCGUAAGGUGGAGCAAAUCCUAUAAAGUGUGCCUCAGUUCGGAUUGAGGGCUGCAAUUCGACUUCANGAAGCUGGAAUCACUAGUAAUCGUAGAUCAGCAAUGCUACGGUGAAUACGUUCCCGGGUCUUGUACUCACCGCCCGUCACU
rnacentral:rRNA from 1 species